CCUACGGGGUGCAGCAGUGAGGAAUAUUGGUCAAUGGGCGGAAGCCUGAACCAGCCAAGUCGCGUGAGGGAUUAAGGCCCUGCGGGUCGUAAACCUCUUUUGCCGGGGAGCAGAGGUCCGGACGUGUCCGGGCCGGGAGAGUACCCGGAGAAAAAGCAUCGGCUAACUCCGUGCCAGCAGCCGCGGUAAUACGGAGGAUGCGAGCGUUAUCCGGAUUUAUUGGGUUUAUAGGGUGCGUAGGCGGGCAUUUAAGCCGGCGGUCAAAUGUCGGGGCUCAACCCCGGCCUGCCGUCGGAACUGGGUGCCUUGAGUGGGCGAGAAGUAUGCGGAAUGCGGGGUGUAGCGGUGAAAUGCAUAGAUAUCACGCAGAACCCCGAUUGCGAAGGCAGCAUACCGGCGCCCUACUGACGCUGAGGCACGAAAGUGCGGGUAUCGAACAGGAUUAGAUACCCCGGUAGUC
rnacentral:rRNA from 1 species